rnacentral:rRNA from 1 species
UACGUAGGGUGCGAGCGUUGUCCGGAAUUAUUGGGCGUAAAGAGCUUGUAGGCGGUUUGUCGCGUCUGCUGUGAAAAUCCGGGGCUCAACCCCGGACUUGCAGUGGGUACGGGCAGACUAGAGUGUGGUAGGGGAGACUGGAAUUCCUGGUGUAGCGGUGAAAUGCGCAGAUAUCAGGAGGAACACCGAUGGCGAAGGCAGGUCUCUGGGCCACUACUGACGCUGAGAAGCGAAAGCAUGGGGAGCGAACAGGAUUAGACUACCCCGUGUCAGUCC